rnacentral:rRNA from 1 species
UUGUUGCGGUUAAAAAGCUCGUAGUUGGAUUUCUGUCGAGGACGGCCGGUCCGCACUAUGUGCGUGUAUCUGGUUUGGCCUUGGCAUCUUCUUGGGGAACGUCGCUGCGCUUGAUUGCGUGGCGCGGUGCUCAAGACUUUUACUUUGAGGAAAUUAGAGUGUUCACGGCAGGCAAUCGCCCUGAAUAUAUUAGCAUGGAAUAAUAAUAUAGGAUUUCAGGCCUAUUUUGUUGGUUUCUAGGCUUGAAAUAAUGAUUAAUAGGGAUAAUUGGGGGCAUUCGUAUUAACACGUCAGAGGUGGAAUUCU